rnacentral:rRNA from 1 species
UACGUAUGGUGCGAACGUUGUUCGGAAUCACUGGGCAUAAAGAGCACGUAGGCGGUUGAGCAAGUCCAUUGUGAAAUCCCCCGGCUUAACCGGGGAACUGCAGUGGAUACUACUCGACUUGAGUGCAGGAGGGGAGAGUGGAAUUCCAGGUGGAGCGGUGAAAUGCGUAGAUAUCUGGAGGAACGCCGGCGGCGAAAGCGACUCUCUGGCCUGUAACUGACGCUGAGGUGCGAAAGCUAGGGGAGCAAACGGG